rnacentral:tRNA from 1 species
CGAGGUGUAGCGCAGCCCGGUUAGCGCAUCACGUUAGGGACGUGGAGGCCGGAGGUUCGAAUCCUCUCACCUCGACCA